AAUAAGAUCAUUUUUCGGUUUUUUAUACGAUGUUUGGACUUUUCGUCUUAUUUAAAUUUUUUUGCGAUUAAUAUUUUUGUUCUUGUUAGAUGAUAAAACAUGAAUAGUACUUUAUGCGUGACUAUUUUUUUUAAAUUUUUUACAUAAUUUUUAAAUAAAACAAAUGGUCAAACGUUAAACACGGAAAA
rnacentral:pre_miRNA from 1 species